AGCGAACGUUAGCGGCGGGCCUAACACAUGCAAGUCGAACGCGAAAGGUCUUCGGACUGAGUAGAGUGGCGCACGGGUGAGUAACACGUAGGUAAUCUACCCUUUGGCGGGGGAUAACGUUCCGAAAGGAGCGCUAAUACCGCAUAAGACCACGGAGUCUCCGGACGCUGUGGGAAAAGGUGGCCUCUUCUUGAAAGCUACCACCGAAGGAUGAGCCUGCGUCCCAUCAGCUAGUUGGUAAGGUAAUGGCUUACCAAGGCGAAGACGGGUAGCUGGUUUGAGAGAACGAUCAGCCACACUGGCACUGGAACACGGGCCAGACUCCUACGGGAGGCAGCAGUGAGGAAUAUUGGGCAAUGGGCGAAAGCCUGACCCAGCCACGCCGCGUGAGUGAUGAAGGCCCUCGGGUCGUAAAGCUCUGUGGAGAGGGACGAAAACCCUGGUUUCAAAUAGGCUCCAGGCUUGACGGUACCUCUUUAGCAAGCACCGGCUAACUCUGUGCCAGCAGCCGCGG
rnacentral:rRNA from 1 species